UCAUAACUCCUUAUGUGAAUGUGUCAGGGUCGCCGGAUUAUGGGUUUUAACAAUAGAAGUUUCUUUGGCUUCCAUUAGCUGGAGAAUGUCUUUCCCAUAAAUUGCCGAGCGGAUGUCUUUUGUCUGAUGCGUUCCUGCCUGUGACGCCAAUGAAAAGUGAAACCCGGAAUGUGGAUAUAGGCCCACUGUGCAAGGCUAUCAAGUAAAGAAGACAUAUUUUGAAGAAAAAAAUAGCUGAGCUAAUGAGAAGAAGAGCCCGGAGAUAACAUCCUGGCUGCGGUUAUGGGGGGAUGGUAAAAUGAGGUAUUGAGAAUAUGCCACAAAAUACAUACGAUUGAAUUUUAUCCAUAGCCUAAAUGGAGUCUUUAGUAGAAAAUUUAUUUGAAACCAGAUAUCUAGCUUAUACUGGAUUUUGUUCGUUUUUGUUUGUUUUGUUUUGUUUUGGUCUCCUCUUUGGUUGGAUUGUGAAAUUCAAAGCCUUCUCCAUACACGUGAUCAAAAUACUUGAAAUGUGCAUGAUUCUUUUAAAAAGGGGAAUGUAAACUGGAAAUGGCAAAAAUCAAAACUGUAGGCCUUGUGAUUGCUAAAGCAGCGAUCGAUGACCUGAAGGGCAAUUGCAAGAUCAGCAGAUCCUGUAGAGAUGCAGCCUCACGAAGGGGGAGGUGGUAUGCCAGGCAGCAACAGAAAGGACGAGUGAUCUGACCAUUGGAAAUCUUCUAGAACAGGAAGUAGACUACAUCUGCCCUUGACACUUUUUAAGGUCAGGUAAAGCCCAGAUAGGAAAAAAACUGGCCAUUGCAAAUGCUCUGGAAAAAAAGGCCCAGAAGAUAUUUCCCAAAAUAAUACGUGGCAAAUAUCUUCCUCUGACACUUACGGCAUCAGUUGAUAAUGCAGCAAUCUGUCCUUUAGAUGACAAAGGGAAAUAGAAACCAAUCUGAUAACCAAGCCAGUUAUCUACCCAUUCUGAUAAAUGCAUAAACUUUAAAAAUGUAUGCUAUUAGAUGCUGGAUAAGAAAAUGAAUGAGGCUGGUCCUUAGCCCUGACAGCGAUUGCUAGGCUCUUAAGGAAAGGAAAGGAAACCUGUUUUCAUGGUAACCAGAAGUAGAGAAAAGAAGCUAAAAAUAAAGGUACGGAUGUCUUGGUGGUCCUUUCAUACUCUUAAGAUUUCUUCCGUAAGAGACCUUUGUGCUAGGUCCAAUUCCUGAAACUGUUUUUCUUUCCUGCUCCCUCUUGCCGUACCAGUAAACUUCCCUGAGACUGA